UACUAAUUUCUGGGCAAUGGGAAUGUUGUGAAGCGUGUCAGAUCCGGAAGGAAGCAGCACUAAGCAGCGAUUCUCAUGUGCCUGUACAUAAUAA
rnacentral:SRP_RNA from 1 species